rnacentral:miRNA from 1 species
UAGAGAGGGAGGUGUACCGGGGUUUUGGGUUUAUAUGCCUCCUGAGACCCUAGUUCCACAUUCUGGAGC